UACAGAGGGUGCAAGCGUUAAUCGGAAUUACUGGGCGUAAAGCGUGCGUAGACGGUUGCGUAAGUCAGAUGUGAAAGCCCCGGGCUCAACCUGGGAAUUGCAUUUGAGACUGCGUAGCUAGGGUGCGGAAGAGGGAAGCGGAAUUUCCGGUGUAGCUGUGAAAUGCGUAGAUAUCGGAAGGAACACCAGUGGCGAAAGCGGCUUCCUGGUCCAGCACCGACGUUCAGGCACGAAAGCGUGGGGAGCAAACAGG
rnacentral:rRNA from 1 species